rnacentral:rRNA from 1 species
UACAGAGGGUGCAAGCGUUAAUCGGAAUUACUGGGCGUAAAGCGUGCGUAGACGGUUAUUUAAGUCGGGUGUGAAAGCCCCGGGCUCAACCUGGGAAUUGCAUUCGAGACUGCUCUGCUAGGGUGCGGAAGAGGGGAGCGGGAAUUUCCGGUGUAGCGGUGGAAAUGCGUAGAUAUCGGAAGGAACACCAGUGGCGAAAGCGGCUCCCUGGUCCAGCACCGACGUUCAGGCACGAAAGCGUGGGGAGCAAACAGG